rnacentral:rRNA from 1 species
CAAUAGCGUAUAUUAACGUUGUUGCAGUUAAAAAGCUCGUAGUUGGAUUUCUGGAGGGAGCGUCGGCCCGUAUUUACGAGUGCGUGACGUCUCUGUCCAUCCUUGCGGGAAGGCACGCCAUUGAUUUGUUGUGUCGGAUCGCAUCAUUUACUGUGAAAAAAUUAGAGUGUUCAAAGCAGGCUUUCGCUUGAAUACAUUAGCAUGGAAUAAUAAGAUAGGACUUUGGUGCUAUUUUGUUGGUUGAGCCUAAAGUAAUGAUUAAUAGGGAUAGUUGGGGGCACCUGUAUUGCGUUGUCAGAGGUGAAAUUCUUGGAUUUACGCAAGACAAACAGCUGCGAAAGCGUCUGCCAAGGAUGUUUNCAUUA